UACGUAGGGUGCGAGCGUUAAUCGGAAUUACUGGGCGUAAAGCGUGCGCAGGCGGUCUGUUAAGACCGAUGUGAAAUCCCCGGGCUCAACCUGGGAAUGGCAGUGGAUACUGGCAAGCUAGAGUGUGUCAGAGGAUGGUGGAAUUCCCGGUGUAGCGGUGAAAUGCGUAGAGAUCGGGAGGAACAUCAGUGGCGAAGGCGGCCAUCUGGGACAACACUGACGCUGAGGCACGAAAGCGUGGGGAGCAAAAGGGAGUUAGAAAC
rnacentral:rRNA from 1 species